AGGAACAAUUUCCGUUGCCUCUGCUUCUCCUGGUCAUCAACAAGGUAAUUGCCUCUACUUCUCCUGCUCUCCUAUUGUUUUAGUUUAGUAUUGGAGAUUUACUUCCUUCAAUACACAUAUCUUAUAGUUUAUUUUUUUAGCUGUAACAGUUUAUAGAUUAGAUGAUGUUUAUGAUCUGGUAUAUUGCUUGGAUAUGCUGUGCUAAUUUUCUUAAGAUAUUAUCUUUGAUUUUGAUACACAUGUAGAAAAAUAUACUUAUGUCACAUUUGAUUUUCUUAAUUGCUUUACUGGCUGAAACGAAUCUGUUCGUAUACACAAUAGAUGAGUACUUCG
rnacentral:lncRNA from 1 species